AUACGGAGGGGGCUAGCGUUGUUCGGAAUUACUGGGCGUAAAGGGCGCGUAGGCGGCGCGAUAAGUUGGGCGUGAAAGGCCCGGACUCAACCCGGGGACUGCGCUUGAUACUGUCGCGCUGUGAGUCCGGGAGAGGAUGGCGGAAUUCCCAGUGUAGAGGUGAAAUUCGUAGAUAUUGGGAAGAACACCGAUGGCGAAGGCAGCCAUCUGGACCGACACUGACGCUGAGGCGCGAAAGCGUGGGGAGCAAACA
rnacentral:rRNA from 1 species